UGGGGAAUCUUGCGCAAUGGGGGAAACCCUGACGCAGCAACGCCGCGUGGGUGAUGAAGGUCUUCGGAUCGUAAAGCCCUGUCGGAGGGGAAGAUGCUUAGUGUGGCUAACAUCCACAUUAGGUGACGGUACCCUCAAAGGAAGCACCGGCUAACUCUGUGCCAGCAGCCGCGGUAAUACAGAGGGUGCAAGCGUUGUUCGGAAUUAUUGGUCGUAAAGGGAGUGUAGGCGGUUUGUUAAGUCUUCUGUGAAAGCUACGGGCUCAGCCCGUAAAGUGCAGAGGAAACUGGCAGACUUGAGUGUUGGAGAGGGCAGGGGAAUACCCAGUGUAGAGGUGAAAUUCGUAGAGAUUGGGUGGAACACCAGUGGCGAAGGCGCCUGCCUGGCUGAUGACUGACGCUGAGACUCGAAAGCAUGGGGAGCAAACAG
rnacentral:rRNA from 1 species